rnacentral:rRNA from 1 species
UACGUAGGGGGCAAGCGUUGUCCGGAAUCAUUGGGCGUAAAGCGCGUGUAGGCGGUUCGGUAAGUCUGCUGUGAAAGUCCAGGGCUCAACCCUGGGAUGCCGGUGGAUACUGUCGAACUAGAGUACGGAAGAGGCGAGUGGAAUUCCCGGUGUAGCGGUGAAAUGCGCAGAUAUCGGGAGGAACACCAAUUGCGAAGGCAAGCUCGCUGGGACGUCACUGACGCUGAGACGCGAAAGCGUGGGGAGCAAACAGGG